ensembl:snRNA U6 U6 spliceosomal RNA
AUGCUGACUUCAACAGCACAUAUAUUAAAUGUGGAUCAAUACAAAGAAAUUUAGCAAGGCCCCUGAGCAGGGAAGACAUACAAAAUUGUGACACAUUCCAUAAGUUU